GCCACCGCGGCGACUUGGCGGCGGGUGCCAUGCGUCUGGAGCUUCACAUUCUCUGCCCCCCACCCACCGCGCCGGCGCUCCCUUGUCACGCCUCGGGAAGCGCGCACCUGCCAAGCAGGAUGAAUAAUCUGAUAUCAUGUGAAAUGAGGAAAUAAGAAGCUUUCUGCUGACUUCAUUUUGACCCAGGGUCCAAAAGGUGAUGUAAUCCUGUGGCAAGAAGCAAUAUCUUUUGCUUGGGAGCAGAAACAGAAAGUACAUGAUGGACUUCAUUGAAGGAUGGAGAUUUGGAAGACAUGAAUGGAUGAAGAACCAAGUGCGUGAGGGCACCUAUCAGGAUUAUUGCUGAAAUCCUUAUGGAGUUAACUGGCUGAGAGGAAGUAGAGAUGGGGUUUCACCAUGUUGCCCAGGCUGGUCUCAAACUCCUGAGCUCAGGCCAUCUGCCCGCCUCGGCCUCCCAAAGUGCUAGGAUUACAGAAGGUGCCUGCUUCCCCUUCACCUUCCACCAUGAUUGUAAGUUUCCUGAGGCCUCCCCAGACAUGUGGAACUAACAGGUUUCUCUUAUUGCCUGGAUCCAAGAGCAUCUCCUGGGUUCUUCCUGUUAGAAUACUGAAUGUCCAUGGAGAGUUUAACAUAAGGAAGAAGAGGCCUGUCUCCCAGCUGAAACUGGUGCAGCAGAUCAUGCAAAGUAAAACCUCAGCAGCUGUGAUGAAGUAGAGCAGAGGGCCUGGGUGUCUGUCAGCUCCAAGCGGAAGAUUUCCCCAGCUUUCUAGGUAACUGUGCUUCCACUGAGCAAGCCAGACACAGACUUGAAUGUCAUCACAAUCUGUGCCUGUGACAUCUUUCCCCAAGAAUAGCACAAAUUGAACUUUUACAUUCUUCAUAAUAUGGAAGGAAAGAUUUCUGACUUCAUAUCUGUGGGAUCCACACAAUGGGGAGGUACUGGCCUUGGAAUCCAUGGUUCCCCAGCUAUCAUUUUACUUUAGAAUUACAGUGUUCUCUGUUAGUGUCAAGGGAAUGAACCUGACGAGAAAAGACCAAACAUAGGACUGUUACAGGGAAGAAAAAUAUGAAAAGACCUAAAGAUGCACGUCCUCAUUAUAUGUAAGGAAUCUAUUUCCUAGAAUCCUAUAAAAAGCUCAAGUGAAUUUGCUUCAGUUAAUAAAUGUGAUUUAAUUAUAAUGAUAAUGCCACA
rnacentral:lncRNA from 1 species